UAGCAUAAUCAUUUGCCUUUUAAUUGAAGGCUAGUAUGAAAGGACACACAAGAAUAAAUCUGUCUCUUCUGGAAAAAUAUAAACUAAAUCUCAGGUGAAGAUGCCUGAAUUAACAUAAAGGACAAGAAGACCCUAUAGAGCUUUAUUAAUAUAAGUUAUUAUACUAACUAUUAAUUUGGUUGGGACAACCAAAAGACAUUCACACCUCUUUUAUAAUAUGUAUUAUACACACAUCAAACCCUUAAUUAGAAUUAAGCUACCUUAGGGAUAACAGGCUAAUCUUACUAGAGAGACCACAUUGACAGUAAGGGUUGGCACCUCGAUGUUGGCUUAGUGUAACUAUUAAGCGCAGCCGCUUAAUUUAGUCGGUUUGUUCAACCGUUAAAUCACUACGUGA
rnacentral:rRNA from 1 species